rnacentral:tRNA from 1 species
GCCGAAGUAGCUCAGUUGGUAGAGCGACACAUUCGUAACGUGUAGGCCGCCGGUUCAAUCCCGGCCUUCGGCUCCA